rnacentral:lncRNA from 10 species
GCAAUAAGAGCUAACUGCCAUCAAGAGCCAUCAGUAUGUCUUCAAGCUGCAUGCCCAGAAAGCUGGAUUGGUUUUCAAAGAAAGUGUUUCUAUUUUUCUGAUGACACCAAGAACUGGACAUCAAGUCAGAGGUUUUGUGACUCACAAGAUGCUGAUCUUGCUCAGGUUGAAAGCUUCCAGGAACUGAAUUUCCUGUUGAGAUAUAAAGGCCCAUCUGAUCACUGGAUUGGGCUGAGCAGAGAACAAGGCCAACCAUGGAAAUGGAUAAAUGGUACUGAAUGGACAAGACAAGACAGGGUCUUACUCUGUUACCCAGGCUGGAGUGCAGUAGUACCAUCGUGGCUCACUGCAGCCUUGACUUCCCUGGCUCAAGUGAGCCUCCCAUCUCAGCCUCCUGAGUAGCUGGGACUACAGGUUUCCUAUCCUGGGAGCAGGAGAGUGUGCCUAUUUGAAUGACAAAGGUGCCAGUAGUGCCAGGCACUACACAGAGAGGAAGUGGAUUUGUUCCAAAUCAGAUAUACAUGUCUAGAUGUUACAGCAAAGCCCCAACUAAUCUUUAGAAGCAUAUUGGAACUGAUAACUCCAUUUUAAAAUGAGCAAAGAAUUUAUUUCUUAUACCAACAGGUAUAUGAAAAUAUGCUCAAUAUCACUAAUAACUGGGAAAAUACAAAUCAAAAUCAUAGUAAAAUAUUACCUGUUUUCAUGGUGCUAAUAUUACCUGUUCUCCCACUGCUAAUGACAUACCCGAGACUGAGUAAUUU